rnacentral:rRNA from 1 species
UACGAAGGGUGCAAACGUUGCUCGGAAUUAUUGGGCGUAAAGCGCACGUAGGCGGCUCUGCAAGUCGGAUGUGAAAUCCCUCGGCUCAACCAAGGAAGUGCAUCCGAAACUGCGGAGCUUGAGUACUUAAGAGGAUCGCGGAAUUCCCGGUGUAGAGGUGAAAUUCGUAGAUAUUGGGAAGAACACCGGUGGCGAAGGCGGCUUGCUGGGCCAGUUCUGACGCUGAGGAGCGAAAGCGUGGGGAGCGAACAGG